GUAGGAGGGGCCGCGCCGGCUCAGUCGCUGCGGCCAUGGCGAGCUUCGUGCGGGAGCUGGAGCGGCGGGCCGGGCCGGCGCUGCGCUUGGAGCAGCGGUCGGGCGGCGUGGGCUGCGUGGUGUGGGACGCGGCUCUGGUGCUCGCCAAGUUCCUGGAGAGCGGCGCGUGGCCACUGUCGCGCAGGGCCGUGCUGGAGCUGGGCGCGGGCACCGGCGCCGUCGGCAUCAUGGCGGCCACGCUGGGGGCCGACGUGACGCUCACCGACCUGCAGGAGCUGCAGGAGCUGCUGGCCGUCAACAUCGAGAACAACCGGCACCUGGUGACCGGGUCGGUGCGAGCCGAGGUACUGAAAUGGGGUGAGGACGUGUCCGAGUUCCGACCGCCCCCCGAUUACAUCCUCAUGGCCGACUGCAUCUACUAUGAGGAGUCCUUAGAGCCGCUGCUGAAGACGCUGCGAGAGCUGACCGGCCCCGAUACGUGUGUGCUGUGCUGCUAUGAGCAGAGGACCAUGGGGAGGAACCCCGAGAUUGAGAGAAGGUACUUCGAGGUGAGUGUCUGUGUUGUGUGCUUCAGGUGCAGCUCUUGGAAAGGGGAGAGAACGGCAGGACAGGGGGAAACGGUGUGAAGUUGAAGGAGGGAAGGUUGAGGUUGGAUGUCAGGGGAAGUUGUGUGCUGUGAGAGUGGUGAGGUGCUGGAACAGCUGCCCAGAGAGGCUGUGAUGCCCCGUCCAUCCCUGGAGGUGUUGAAGGCCAGGUUGGAUGGGGCCCUGGGCAGCCUGGGCUGCUAUGAAAUGUGGAGGUUGGUGGCCCUGCAUGGCACAGGGGGGUUGGAGCUUCGUGAUCCUUGAGGUCCCUUCCAAUCCAGGCCAUUCUGUCAUUCCAUGAUUCUGCAACUGCACAGGUUCUCAGGGCAGAGGCCUGAAGGGAAUACUGCACAGGUCACUCGUGCCUCUCUAACUUUUAAAUUACAGUGCAAGAAGCUUGGGGAUAAAGUUUUGUAUGAAAUACAAAUGAAGUCCAAGACCCCAUUGUCUGAUAGGCAAUGAUUGUUGUCCUGUGCUUGUAAACCAUAGUGAGGGUUCAUGGAAAAAUUUUUCUCUAUUCUGAUUUGAUGCUCUCAGAGUAAGAGUAAUGGGGGGUAUCAAAGAGAACAGUACCAGUACAUGUAAUGGAAGCUAUCAACUCAGUAAAUGAAGAUUUGUGUAAUUUUAAACAUAUUCACAUAAAGCACACCAAGACUGUUCUGUUGUCAAAAAAUGUACCAGAGGAUACUGAUAGAAAUAUCACAGAGAUGUAUCUUUUUCCAAGUAGUGUUCCUUUUGUUUUUUAAUUAGAAGGUGCUGCAGUAGCCAGUAGGUAGAGUGGAGCAGGAGGUACAGUGGUAACACAGGGCAAUAGAGAACAAAACAAAUAGACUUCUCUUCAAAACGUUUGUUUAAUUAUUUUCUCUCCUUAUUGUUUGUUAGUUCCACCUCAG